GGAAUGAAAACAAGAUUUAAAAUCUAUCUUCAAUGACUGAAGUUAGAAGAAAAUUAAUACUUUUCUUACAAUCCAGCAUCACCUCCCAUUGUUAAUUUCAGUGAACAUAUUUAGAAACUGCCAACAAUUGUUUACAAAGCUUUGGAAAUACAUGUUUUGACUCAGGCCACAGACUUAAAGUAUAGGCACCCUAGAUGUCAAAAAGAUGAUAAUAAGCAGAUGAGGCUAGGGAAGAAACAGCCAUAACCACUGAGUUCUUUUCAGAAAUCCCUAUUUACCUAGGUUACAGCUUGGUUUUGUGUGAAGAAGGUGUGGGGCCCUCAAGCCUGGAGUGCAGAAAGGCUUUCUCUGGCUUCUACUUUGUCAUUGUCCUCUACUGAACAAAAAGAAAACUGCUUGUCCGCCUCCGAAAAAGAAGUUGGCUGUUACCGACCAUGCUGUGAUGUCCUGGACGGCCUGACACCUGCCUCACACAUCCCUCAGGAUCUCCACUGUCCCACCUCGGCCACCCACUUUCCUGUUCACUCUCGGGAACUCAGUCAGUCGGAAACAUUCUACCUUCAGAAUGG
rnacentral:lncRNA from 1 species